rnacentral:rRNA from 1 species
AGAGUUUGAUCAUGGCCCAGGAUGAACGCUAGCGGCAGGCCUAAUACAUGCAAGUCGAACGAGAUUAAGAGGCUUGCUUCUUAUGAAAGUGGCGCACGGGUGCGUAACGCGUAUGCAACCUACCUUAAUCAGGGGGAUAGCCCGAAGAAAUUCGGAUUAAGACCGCAUAAAAACACAGGAUAGCAUUAUCCAAUGUUCAAAUAUUUAUAGGAUUAAGAUGGGCAUGCGUGUCAUUAGCUAAUUGGCGGGGUAACGGCCCACCAAGGCGACGAUGACUAGGGGAUCUGAGAGGAUGACCCCCCACACUGGUACUGAGACACGGACCAGACUCCUACGGGAGGCAGCAGUAAGGAAUAUUGGUCAAUGGAGGGAACUCUGAACCAGCCAUGCCGCGUGCAGGAAGACAGCCCUCUGGGUCGUAAACUGCUUUUAUUCGGGAAUAAACCUUUCUACGUGUAGGAAGCUGAAUGUACCGAAGGAAUAAGGAUCGGCUAACUCCGUGCCAGCAGCCGCGGUAAUACGGAGGAUCCAAGCGUUAUCCGGAUUUAUUGGGUUUAAAGGGUGCGUAGGCGGCUUAUUAAGUCAGGGGUGAAAGACGGUGGCUCAACCAUCGCAGUGCCCUUGAUACUGAUGAGCUUGAAUACACUAGAGGUAGGCGGAAUGUGACAAGUAGCGGUGAAAUGCAUAGAUAUGUCACAGAACACCGAUUGCGAAGGCAGCUUACUAUGGUGUUAUUGACGCUGAGGCACGAAAGCGUGGGGAUCAAACAGGAUUAGAUACCCGGGUAGUCCACGCCCUAAACGAUGAAUACUCGCUGUUAGCGAUAUACAGUUAGCGGCUAAGCGAAAGCGUUAAGUAUUCCACCUGGGGAGUACGCCCGCAAGGGUGAAACUCAAAGGAAUUGACGGGGGCCCGCACAAGCGGAGGAGCAUGUGGUUUAAUUCGAUGAUACGCGAGGAACCUUACCCGGGCUUGAAAGUUAGUGAAUGAUCUAGAGAUAGAUCAGUGAGCAAUCACACGAAACUAGGUGCUGCAUGGCUGUCGUCAGCUCGUGCCGUGAGGUGUUGGGUUAAGUCCCGCAACGAGCGCAACCCCUAUGUUUAGUUGCCAGCACGUUAAGGUGGGGACUCUAAACAGACUGCCUGUGCAAACAGAGAGGAAGGAGGGGACGACGUCAAGUCAUCAUGGCCCUUACGUCCGGGGCUACACACGUGCUACAAUGGAUGGUACAGAGGGCAGCAAGCUGGCAACAGCAAGCGAAUCUCAAAAAGCCAUUCACAGUUCGGAUAGAGGUCUGCAACUCGACCUCUUGAAGUUGGAUUCGCUAGUAAUCGCGUAUCAGCAAUGACGCGGUGAAUACGUUCCCGGGCCUUGUACACACCGCCCGUCAAGCCAUGGAAGUUGGGGGUACCUAAAGUAUGUAACCGUAAGGAGCGUCCUAGGGUAAAACCGAUAACUGGGGCUAAGUCGUAACAAGGUAACCGU